rnacentral:rRNA from 1 species
UCGAGAAUAUUGUGCAAUGGGCGAAAGCCUGACACAGCGACGCCGCGUGGCUGAUGAAGUCCCUCGGGAUGUAAAAGCCUUUUGCUUGGGACGAAUAUUUUGACGGUACCAAGCGAAUAAGAGGUUGCUAACUCUGUGCCAGCAGCAGCGGUAAUACAGAGACCUCAAGCGUUAUCCGGAUUUAUUGGGCGUAAAGCGUUGGUAGGCGGUUUGGCAAGUCAGACGUUAAAUCUCAGGGCUCAACCCUGAGGCCGCGUUUGAAACUGCUAAGCUCGAGGCUGGGAGAGGUAGAUGGAAUUGCCGGUGUAGCGGUAAAAUGCGUUAAUAUCGGCAAGAACACCAAAUGCGAAGGCUUUCUACUGGAACAGAUCUGACGCUGAACAACGAAAGCGUGGGGAGCGAAUGGG